rnacentral:rRNA from 1 species
UAUCAUUAACUGAAUCCAUAGGUUAAUGAGGCGAACCGGGGGAACUGAAACAUCUAAGUACCCCGAGGAAAAGAAAUCAACCGAGAUUCCCCCAGUAGCGGCGAGCGAACGGGGAGGAGCCCAGAGCCUGAAUCAGCAUGUGUGUUAGUGGAAGCGUCUGGAAAGGCGCGCGAUACAGGGUGACAGCCCCGUACACAAAAGCGCAUGUGCUGUGAGCUCGAUGAGUAGGGCGGGACACGUGGUAUCCUGUCUGAAUAUGGGGGGACCAUCCUCCAAGGCUAAAUACUCCUGACUGACCGAUAGUGAACCAGUACCGUGAGGGAAAGGCGAAAAGAACCCCGGCGAGGGGAGUGAAAAAGAACCUGAAACCGUGUACGUACAAGCAGUGGGAGCCCCACCACCAAAGCAUUUGCUGUACCGCGUUGACGGAGCGAAGCGACGUCAAACCGAUAAAACAGCAGUGUAAAGUGAGCCGCAGGGCGCUUUGCGCGACAGCGCAAAGGCAGGCGGUUUCGCGUAGCGAAAGCGAAUGCUUUGGGGUGGGGUGACUGCGUACCUUUUGUAUAAUGGGUCAGCGACUUAUAUUCUGUAGCAAGGUUAACCGAAUAGGGGAGCCGGAGGGAAACCGAGUCUUAAUUGGGCGUUAAGUUGCAGGGUAUAGACCCGAAACCCGGUGAUCUAGCCAUGGGCAGGUUGAAGGUUGGGUAACACUAACUGGAGGACCGAACCGACUAAUGUUGAAAAAUUAGCGGAUGACCUGUGGCUGGGGGUGAAAGGCCAAUCAAACCGGGAGAUAGCUGGUUCUCCCCGAAAGCUAUUUAGGUAGCGCCUCGUGAAUUCAUCUCCGGGGGUAGAGCACUGUUUCGGCUAGGGGGCCAUCCCGGCUUACCAACCCGAUGCAAACUGCGAAUACCGGAGAAUGUUAUCACGGGAGACACACGGCGGGUGCUAACGUCCGUCGUGAAGAGGGAAACAACCCAGACCGCCAGCUAAGGUCCCAAAGUCAUGGUUAAGUGGGAAACGAUGUGGGAAGGCCCAGACAGCCAGGAUGUUGGCUUAGAAGCAGCCAUCAUUUAAAGAAAGCGUAAUAGCUCACUGGUCGAGUCGGCCUGCGCGGAAGAUGUAACGGGGCUAAACCAUGCACCGAAGCUGCGGCAGCGACACUGUGUGUUGUUGGGUAGGGGAGCGUUCUGUAAGCCUGCGAAGGUGGCCUGUGAGGGUUGCUGGAGGUAUCAGAAGUGCGAAUGCUGACAUAAGUAACGAUAAAGCGGGUGAAAAGCCCGCUCGCCGGAAGACCAAGGGUUCCUGUCCAACGUUAAUCGGGGCAGGGUGAGUCGACCCCUAAGGCGAGGCCGAAAGGCGUAGUCGAUGGGAAACGGGUUAAUAUUCCCGUACUUGGUGUUACUGCGAAGGGGGGACGGAGAAGGCUAUGUUGGCCGGGCGACGGUUGUCCCGGUUUAAGCGUGUAGGUGUGUGUUCCAGGUAAAUCCGGUUCACUUUAACACUGAGGCGUGACGACGAGGCACUACGGUGCUGAAGCAACAAAUGCCCUGCUUCCAGGAAAAGCCUCUAAGCAUCAGGUAACAUCAAAUCGUACCCCAAACCGACACAGGUGGUCAGGUAGAGAAUACCAAGGCGCUUGAGAGAACUCGGGUGAAGGAACUAGGCAAAAUGGUGCCGUAACUUCGGGAGAAGGCACGCUGACACGUAGGUGAAGUGAUUUACUCAUGGAGCUGAAGUCAGUCGAAGAUACCAGCUGGCUGCAACUGUUUAUUAAAAACACAGCACUGUGCAAACACGAAAGUGGACGUAUACGGUGUGACGCCUGCCCGGUGCCGGAAGGUUAAUUGAUGGGGUCAGCGCAAGCGAAGCUCCUGAUCGAAGCCCCGGUAAACGGCGGCCGUAACUAUAACGGUCCUAAGGUAGCGAAAUUCCUUGUCGGGUAAGUUCCGACCUGCACGAAUGGCGUAAUGAUGGCCAGGCUGUCUCCACCCGAGACUCAGUGAAAUUGAACUCGCUGUGAAGAUGCAGUGUACCCGCGGCAAGACGGAAAGACCCCGUGAACCUUUACUAUAGCUUGACACUGAACAUUGAGCCUUGAUGUGUAGGAUAGGUGGGAGGCUUUGAAGUGUGGACGCCAGUCUGCAUGGAGCCGACCUUGAAAUACCACCCUUUAAUGUUUGAUGUUCUAACGUGGACCCGUUACCCGGGUUGCGGACAGUGUCUGGUGGGUAGUUUGACUGGGGCGGUCUCCUCCUAAAGAGUAACGGAGGAGCACGAAGGUUGGCUAAUCCUGGUCGGACAUCAGGAGGUUAGUGCAAUGGCAUAAGCCAGCUUGACUGCGAGCGUGACGGCGCGAGCAGGUGCGAAAGCAGGUCAUAGUGAUCCGGUGGUUCUGAAUGGAAGGGCCAUCGCUCAACGGAUAAAAGGUACUCCGGGGAUAACAGGCUGAUACCGCCCAAGAGUUCAUAUCGACGGCGGUGUUUGGCACCUCGAUGUCGGCUCAUCACAUCCUGGGGCUGAAGUAGGUCCCAAGGGUAUGGCUGUUCGCCAUUUAAAGUGGUACGCGAGCUGGGUUUAGAACGUCGUGAGACAGUUCGGUCCCUAUCUGCCGUGGGCGCUGGAGAACUGAGGGGGGCUGCUCCUAGUACGAGAGGACCGGAGUGGACGCAUCACUGGUGUUCGGGUUGUCAUGCCAAUGGCACUGCCCGGUAGCUAAAUGCGGAAGAGAUAAGUGCUGAAAGCAUCUAAGCACGAAACUUGCCCCGAG